GAGAUUCUAUUUUGCGUCGGAGACGGCGAUGCGCCUCGUCGAGAUUUUACACUAAUUUCUCACAUUUUGGGGGUCUCUCAUAUAAUUCCAAGUCUCGAGACUUUCUAUGUAAUUGGUAGCAGUUUGUGGAACUGUAGUAGUUCCACAGAGCUGUGAGUAGUUCUAAUGUAUAGUUUUUAUAACCUUGCUUUCUUUUAAUGUUUACAUUAACUGGAGAGAGCUUAAUCUUAUUGUAAACCUUUUUGUUAUUGUUAAAUAUAGUUUCAAAGCUACCUAGUUACAAUCAAAUGGCAUCAGGUAUACAUUUCCAAACGGAAGAAAUUAUCUCUCGUGAAGUUUGUUUACGUUUCGCAUCUGCAAAACGUAGGCCUGAAUGAAAUGAAAAUACAACCCUAUUUUUUAUAGUACCAUAUCGUUCGUCGAAAUUAUACGUGAAGACAAGUUCUAAAGGUACAGAGACCAGAUAUAGAGAUCGUAUUUGCGACAUGUAAUUUACAAGUACGUCCCCAUUUUACCUUCGAAAGGGGGAAAGACAUAUAAUCCAAUCCAUUGAUGUUCAUUAAACCGAAAUGUUAUGUAGUUUUAAGUAUAGAUACAAAUGACAUUAGGCUGGCCACAUUAAAAUCAUUUCCAUUGAAAGUUUAUGUAGGUACCUACUCAUAUUAACGUGUCUUGAAUUGUACUUACAAUUUCAAAGAAAAAUCCAUUAACGUUUAGGAAGGAAACUUCAAAGUGUAUAAAGAUUGCGUUAUUAAUAAAAGUCUAAUUCUUUUGAUUGCUGCUGCAAAGAUUUCCUAAUGUGAAAGAGCACAUUUUAAAGUGAUAUAAUGGUUUAGACACUAUGUAGUGAUUUGUUGCUAUAACAUUAACGUGAUUAUUAUUAAGAUAGUAAGCCCUUUAAUAUAAAAACAAGAAGGAUUUUAUUAGUUAGAUAAAUACUGGCCACUAAUGACAAAGUACACAUGUCACAUUUAAUUAAUCACUUGAGGGAAGUGGACUGCUACAUUACACUAAUGUUUAAAGGAACAUUUUCUAUAAAGUUGCACCUUCUAAUUUAAUCUGGAAUUGUAAAGAUAUUUGAAGUACACAAAGUGUAUGGUCGAAAGUAUACAGCAUUUAAGUAACAAUAAACCUAUACCAACUAAUCUUACCUACAAAAUUUUUUUACUGAAACACUUAAGUACAUGCUGUAGCAAAAAAUCAUGAAUCAAUAGGGGACCUACUAGAUUAUUUCAAUUUGAGAUCAUAUAGAUUCUGCGGUUUCUUGGUGUUUCAUACCUACAUAGUUUCUAGAGAAAUUCAUAAAUCUAAAUAUAAAUUUACUUCUAUCUAUUUUGUGCUAAAUUGAUGUGGAUCAUGAGAAAAAUAUUAAAAAAUACAUGUACACUUUGUACACAUUAUGCCUUGCAUGCAGCAAGUCGUUUCACAUUGUAUGUGCAUGUUAAAAAACAAUGUAUUAGUUAUUAACAACACAUCCAAAGUACUUAUUACACUUGGGGUUGUUUUAGCCUCCUGUAGAACAAGUUUAUUCUUAUCGGGAGAAUUUUCUUUACGAUUUCUCCA